AAAACCUAAAGUGAUCCGAUUAAUAAAAGUUAAGCCACAGAUGUAACAAUCAUAGACAGAAAAGAUAAUAGCAGAGGAACCGACAGAAGAAGCAAAGCUAGAGCUGAACCAGAUAACCAAGAACUUCCAGAUUUCCAAGCACAAGACUUAGAUAAUCACAGCAAGCCUGAUCGAUUCAAAUUCCAACUAUCUUUCACCAGGAAACUACUAGAAUUCUGCUACUGCAUCUGCUCCAACUAUACAAACGAGCUGAGACCUGUGCUAAUUUGGUGGAUCCUCUUCCACCCACUACCUGUCUUCUUCGUAUAUUUGGCUAAAAAAGUUAGCUGCUUUGACUUCCUUCUCUGGAAUCAUGGGCAAUUGCUGCUCCGUACAAUGUAGUUUCGAGAAUUUCCUUCUUCGUGGCUGGGAUUUCAUUGUUGGUCAUGCUAAUUAUGUCUGCAAGCUUAAACAAACUCUUCCAACUUUAUCUUCUGCUCUUCAAGAACUGAGGGCACAAAGAAAUGACGUGCGAAGGCAGGUUGAUCUUGCAGAACAACGACUAUUGAAGCCAUUUGAGCAAGUUCAGCUAUGGCUUUCAAAAGCAGAAACUAUGAUAACAGAGGCGGAGGAAUUGGUUUCAAAUGGUCCUCAACAAAUGAAUAACUUGUGUCUCGGUGGCUGCAUUUCCAAGUGUGAAAAAUAAAAUAGAAUAAAAUAAAUAAAAAUAAAGAACACAUAAAUUUUACGUGGAAACCCUUUCGGGAAAAAAACCACGGGCAGAGGAGAAGAAAAUUCACUAUGUCGAAAAAUUUUUACUCUAAUACAAGAGGAAUAGACUAUGUCUAUUUAUAGGCUUGCAAAGCCAUAUUCUAAGAGGAUUGAAA